UAAACGGCCCCGAAUAUUCAGCCUCGUGCGGCGGAGCCCGCCUCCGGCUAGGCGCAGGCGCAGUAAGGGCCUGGCCUAGCUCGGCUUGGUCUGGGCGUCGUGUCCGUCCAUCCCCGCCUCUUUCUGUUCGAAUCAACUUGCCCGAACUCUCUCGGGGAGGGGGCUUGUCUGCCGGAGGCAAUUUAAAGCCAACGGAAUGCUUCUUCGGAUGUAUUGCGCGGUGAAGAAGGACUUAGCAAAGAGGUGAGCAAAGAUUGUGAAAAAUUAAAGAUGCUGCCAGACCUGCUCAGUUUUUCCCAGCAUGUUCAGAAUAAUUUAGCUAUAUUCUUAAGACCUGUUUUCUUCAGUGCUAUAUUAUAUGAUUAGACCAGUUGUGUUCGUGCCACUUUAAGCUCAUGCGCAUUGUGCCACAUCACUGAUGUGUCCACUUGUCAAUGCAGACUUUUUUCUGCAUCUCUCAAAGCACAAGCAAAACAUUGUGUUGACAUGCCAAUCUAUUGGUACCUUUUUUCUCCGAGAAAUGAAAUAUGAAUUGUUGAGUAAAAGCUUUUUCAACCGAUCUCAUUUUAGCAAUAUUCUGCUUCUAGGUGUGUUUCAAAAUGUUUUUAACGUAGGGCCUUUGCAAUUUGAGAGAGAGAUGCCCAAGAAGGGCAGCAGGGAUGCAAAGGCCUGUGAAUUAGGAAUGGAACAAAUUUGUCUUUGGACAGUGUGAGACACCUGUCAGGACAGUCAUAUCAAACUGAUAGUUCUUUUUUUUUUUGUUUAUUGGCUAUCUCACGAAGAACAUUCAUUCAUGCGCACACCUUAAGUGGUAAGGGUCAGCGGGUGAUUAUGGGUGACAAUGUAGCCAAGCCUAAUUUUCUUUCUACCUCCUAUAUCUUCCAGGAGGGCUCAUUGGAACACAGUUGGAGGAUGGGUGGAAUAUAGCUGCCUUUCCAUUACCUUGUCUAGAGGUGGUAAGGCCAAUUGCAAUAUUCCAUCUGCUGACCUAGCUCAGAUUUGCCAAAUGAAAGAAACUGUUUUGAACUUUGUGGUCUGUUUGGUUUAGAUCUAGAAAUCACAAGACAGCUGUGAUGAGAAAAUCUAUUCAACCUAGUCACUGCAUCUAGUAAGGAUAGUACUGCACCUCCUCCACAAUAACACUCAAUGCUGAAGGGCCCCCCCAUCCCCCAAGAAUGUGUGUCCUCAGCCCCUCACUGUACUCCCUGUACACCUAUAACUGUGUUGUCAAAUUCUGAACGAACGCCACCCCAGUGAGAUGGAUAUCUAACAAUGACGAGUCAAAAUACAGAAGGGAGAGGAUUUGGUGACAUGGUGCAAUGAAAACAAUCUGACUCAACGUCGGCAAAACUAAAGAACUGAUUAUCGACUUCAGAAAGAAAGGAGGAGAACACACCCCCGUCUACACCAAUGGAACUGAUGUUGUGAGGGUGGAGAGCAUCAAGCUCCUCGGUGAUAACCGAUAGCCUGUCCUGGACUUCCCACGUAAAUGCGGCAGUCUCUGGUCAACUACUGCUGGCCUAGCCAUUAAAAAUUGAAUAUUAAAAAAUCAAUAUUUUUUAAAAAUACCAAAUUCAUUUCAACUUGCAGGUUUGUGGAUUGAAUCAUUGGAUGCACUAAGCGUCAGAUUUAUAACUUUAAACUUUAUCCCCGAAAAAAUUGUAAAGCAAUUUAGGUCACAACUUCCUUAAGUUCUUCUCUGUUCUCAGUCUGCUUUUUAAUCAGUCUGUUUAGUUGUAUUAAGACACAGCUCUGGAGCAGGUGGGACUUGAACCUAGGCCUUCUGGUUCAGAGUUCAGGACACUAUUUCAGUGCCACAAGUGCCCUCAGCCCCUUCUCUCAUUAGAGUGAUGCCUGUGCUCUGUUCAGCACCUCCUUGUUCUAAUGUGACUGAGCUGGGGAGCUCAGCAGAAUGGGAUAUGGAUAUGUUCUGUAGAAGGGUCAUUGGACCUGAAAUAAUAGAACUGUAGAAAUGAUACAGCAAAGAAGGGGGCCAUUUGACUCAUCUUGUCCAUGAUGACGCAAAGAUAUCUAAAUGUCCUUUUCUAAUCCCACCUUCCUGCACGUGGCCCAUAGCCCUGCAGCUUGCAGUGCUUAAGGUGCAGAACCAGGUACAUUCUGAAAGGUGUUUCGGGUGACUGCCUCCACCACCGACUCAAGCAGUGGAUUUCAGACACCCAUCACCCUCUGCAUUUUUAAAAAAAAAAGUUACUUUUUCUUCACGUCCCUCUAAUCCUUCUGCCACCUAGCUUCAAUCAAUGACCCCUGAUUUCUGAACUCUCUGCUAAGGGAAAACCAUUUCCUCCUGUCUACUCUAUCUCCACCCCUCUCAGUUUUGUAUACCUUAAUCAUGUGACCCCUUCAGUCUUCUCUGUUCGAAAGAAAACAACCCUAAUCUUCCCUCAUACAGUUCUCCAGUCCUGGCAACAUUCAAGUAAAUUUCCUCUUCACACACUCGAGCAAUUUGUCCUUCUUAUUAUGCGGUGACCAGAACUGCACACGUUACACCAGUUGUGGCCUCACUGAUUUGUCUUAUACAGUUUCAACAUUCUGUCACCUCCUAUAUACUUCUGUCACUGAAGGAGAGCAUUUUGUAUGCUUUCUUUUAAAACCUUAUCAACCUGUACUGCUACCUUUAGGGACCACUUGCCUUCCACGAUCUCUCAGUUCAGCUACCCUUCUCAGUAUAUUCCAUUUUAUUGUGUAUUUCCUUUUUACUGUUUGACCUCCCUAAAUGCAUUACCUCACACUUAUCAGAGUUGAACUCCAUCUGCUACUUUCCUGUUUGCUCCACCAAGCAAUCGAUAUCGUUUUGGAGAUUACAGCUGUUGUCUGCACUUUCUGCUACACGGCCCAUUUUUGUGUUGUCUGCCCAUUUCCCAAUUGUGCCCCUAAGUUCAAGUCCAAAUCAUUAAUGUAUAAAACAAACUGCAGGGGUUGCAAUACAGAGCCCUGUGGUACAUCACUUGAAACAGCUUUGUAUUCGCAAGGGCAACCAUCAACCGUUCCCUUUUGUUUCCUGUUACUAAGCCAACUUUGGAUCCAAUUCAAUACAUUACCCUGUAUCCCAUGGGCUUUUACUUUUUUGAUCAGUCUGCUAUGUGAGACCUUGUCACAUACCUGACUAAAAUCCAUGUAUACAACAUCCACUGCACUAUCCUCAUCGAUCCUCCUCAUCAAUUUCUCAAAGAAUUCAAUCAGAUUUGUAAGGCAUGACCUUCUCUUAACAAAGCUAUGCUGACUGUCCGUGACUAGUCCAUACCUUACUAAGAAACGACUGCUUUCUCUUGACGGAUGCUACCAGACCUACUGAAUUUUUCUGCUAUACCUAUUUUGUUUCCAAUUUCAGCACCUGCGCAGUUUGUUUUUGUUGGGAUGUUGAUUUGGCUUGCCACAGUGCACUGGAGCAGCACAUAUUUGAUACAAAUGCUUUAUAUAUGCAAAGUAAAUGUCACAACAUUUUCUUAAAUCAUGAAUAAGGAACCCUCAAUGACAUCUGUUAAGUUUCAGAUGUUGAUUCAUAUGUUGUAAAUUCUGGCUGAACUGAAAUGGCUACUUAGUGAAAUUAAACCAAGGCUAAUGUAAAACUGGUUGUAAACAUAUAAACAAAUAUUCCAGAUACUUGCUUUUAAACAAAAUUGUGAUUUAUCCUGUAUACUUUGCUGAGUAGCUCAUACAUUCCAGAAACAUGAGAUGAGUCACUUUUAUCCUUGCCAAUAAUAAAUCAUGAACUACUUAACAUGCAGCUUGGAGAGAGCAAAUGAAUUAACUCUACUCUUCCCCUUAGCACUCUAGACAAGAGAAAAUCUGAUAUUUAUGCGGAUAUGCCAUACCAUACAUGUUUGCAUUCCUGUGCUUCUAAUCGAAAUCUGCAACUUUGGAAUUUUACAAACGCUCUGUGCAGGCAAAACAGUUGGAAGGAGGAGCUUAAAAGUAAAUGCUUUUAUAAAUUUUUCAUCUUGCAAAACAAUAAUUUGAAGCAGUAUUAAAAAACCAAGAGCUUGCUAUUUUCAAAAGCAAUUGUCAGUGAA